GUUAAAUUGUUAGCUGAAGAUUCACAACUAUGAUUCAGAAUUCAUUAACAACAGAUUAAUUUGUAAUUCAACUCAUGCAAUCAAGUGUCUAGCUUCAUCUCAAAUAUUUUCCUCCCUUUCAGAUGCUCUUGUUGGACUGUGAUUACUCAAGUAAAACAUGCCAUUGGAGCCUCCGGUUUAGUAAACCAACAAUGCAAGACAGUGGUAGAACAAUACUGGAAAUUCAUUCUGGAAAUGCUAUUAUCUCAGGCACGACCAGGGAAUAUAUGCUCUGAAAUUGGAUUUUGUACCUUUGACGGGACUCGAGGUGUUAGUACAAACAUUGAGAAUGUAGUGGAUGAAAGCAAAGAGAGGGCAUCUGACGGUAUGCAAUUGGUGGUAAAGCUUUUAAGCUGACACCAGAUCAGAUUGUACUUCAUGGAAUUGACAUCAAUAAAGAGGACUUCAUGGGAGUGAAGCACCUAGAUGCUCAAGCUCUAUUGGCAACUGAGAAACUUGCCCCUGUUGCCAUUUUAAAUAAGGUUAGAGUACCAAUUGAUGCUAAACUUAGCACUCUCACUGUGGAUUGGGACAAACUGCCAGGAAAACAAACACUGGCACUAACAUUAUCUUACAAAUUCAAAUUGGAGGAUGUAUAAGAAAUAAAGCCUCAAGUUCCAUUGCUUAAUAAUCGCAUAUAUGACAAUAAAUUUGAGUCCGAGUUCUAUAUUAUCUCAAACACUAACAAGGUAAUUUGGAUAGAUAGUUUUGAAGUUGAAAUUUUACAAAUCUUACCAUUACUCGAGAUGUAUAUCUUACAAGUUUGCCUCUUGCAAAGACCAAUCAAGUGGGAGAGUGUGGUAACAUUUUCAUCUCUAUUUGUAUCCUAUUUUUUUGCGUUUCUCUAAUUCCGUUUCUCUUUUUGUAUUUGUGUUUCGUGUUUCUCUCUUUGCUUUUGUGUUUUUUCUUUUCUUUUCUUUCUUUGUAUUUGUGUUUUGUGUUUGGUGUUUUUCUCUUUGUAUUUGUGUUUUGUGUUUGAUGUUUCACUCUUUGUAUUUGUGUUUUGUGUUUCUCUCUUUGUAUUUGUGUUUGGUGUUUCUCUCUUUGUAUAUGUGUUUUGUGUUUGGUGUUUCUCUCUUUGUAUUUGUGUUUUUGUUUGAUGUUUCUCUCUUUGUAUUUGUGUUUUGUUUUUAGUGUUUCUCUCUUUGUAUUUGUGUUUUGUGUUUGGUGUUUCUCUCUUUGUAUUUGUUUUUGUAUUUUGUGUUUCUCUAUGUGUUUUGUGUAUCUCUAUCUUUUUCUCCUGGUUGUGUUUCUCUGUGUGUUUUGUUUAUCUCUUUUUUGUGUUUCUCUAUGCGUUUGUGAAUCGCAGGUUUGUUUCUCUUUAUGAGUGUAUUUGUGUUUCUAUUUGUGAUUUGCAAGGAAUUCCAUUUGCAUGUUUAUCUUUUUUCGUGUGUCAAAAUGCUCUCGUGUUUAGAUUAUCAAUGAGAAGUCUCUCGUUUCCUGCUUAUAAGAAGAGCUUCAGCAAUUGAAGCGUGGGUAUAUGGAAAAUCCUCAUAUGCUUGUCUGCAUCUGGUUACUUUGAAGCUCCAGGUUUACCCAUUAUGAAUACUUUUGACUGUUUGAUCUAUUAUUUAUCCCACUGCUUGCACCCUUGAAUAACAAGUUAUGUAUUGUUUUUUGGACAUGAUAUGUCUGUUGUAGCACUUUAUAAUAUCUAAUUUUCUUUGGCAUAAAAGCUGGAAGCUUGGAAGAAGAGGCUAAGGCAGCAUUGAUGGGAACUAAACUUAUAUCGGAGUUGGCACCAUAUGUGAGGAGGUACCACGUCUUUCAGCUCUCAAUUUUUCUUGUAAUUUGAUGUCACAGAACAUUGAUGGUCUACCCCAACUUAAAAACAUCCGUAUUCUAGUGCUGAACAAUACUGAAAAAGAUUGGAUACAGGUUGAAGUUGUUAAUCAUUUAUUGCCUGUGAUUGAGAAGCUGCACUUAAUGGGGAAUGUCAUCACUAUAUUAAAGACAGAAUUUUCUUUAGUUGUUCAAGGAUUUGCGGCUUCUGAAUUUAGAAGAUAAUUGUAUAGCUGAAUGGAAUGAUAUUUUAAAGCUUUCUCUGCUAAGAAGAUAGGAAACGUGAAUACAUGGUUGAAGAAGAUGUUGGGAGCUAUGGUUCUGUGGUGAAAGAUUACAGAAGGAACAGGUUUAAGCUAAGGAUAAUUCAUAUAACUUGGUUUUAAAUUUGCAUUAUUGUUGGAAUGGGAAUCUAACUUGGUUUGUUCCUCAAUAGAGGAAGCCAUAAGAGAUUGGAUCGUGAGAGGCUACAAAGAGUCAGUGAGGAGGAAGCCAUUCUUGCAUUGAUGCUGCAAUAAAGGAAGCCAUGGAUAAAACAGAGACUAAAUUCAUGAAAAUGAGAGAGGGAAUCUCUGAAGGCUUCUAGAAGUAGAGAAGUAGAUAAAGAAAUGCAAAAAGUUCAAUAGAGAGAAUUACGGGAGAGAUUGGACCGUGAGAGGCUACAAAGAGAAAGUGAGGAGGAAGAGAGUGAAGAGAGGAAACUUGAGAAAGAGAGGGAGAGAGCACAUGAAAUUGAGAAGGGCGAGAGAGGAGAAGGAAAGAGAGCAAAGGAGGCUUGAGAGAGAGAGAACGAGCCAGGGAAUGAGGGAGGGGAAUUUGAUUACUUUUUACAGCCGGAGACGACAGAGAUGACGGUGUAGAGAAGAGUUGUGUAUCUCAGCAAAAUAUGGGAGUGGUUACUUGAAUCUACAAGUGACUUGAAUUGUUUAGUCAGAAGUUUGUAUAAUAUUUGGGAUUAGAUGGUUUGUUUUUGUGUAUAUGGCUAACUAAGUAACUACUGCUACUUUCUUAGCUUAGUUAGUUUCUCUGAUCUGAUGAUAACUUUGUCGUUUCUCUUCUCCUUGCAGAUUCACAACAGAUUAAUUUGUUAUUCAAUUCCUUCAAUCAAGUCAUAGAUAAUAUCUUGCUUCAUCACAAAUAUUUUUCUCCAAUUGAGCUGCUCUUAUUGGGUUUCUGUACAGAGUGGGAGGACAAUCACGGAUCAAAUGGAUAUGCUUUGUGAGCAGGUUAAAUUGUUAGCUGAAGAUUCACAACCAAAGCAUUGUGGUUGAUCCGACCAAGCUAGGUGACGGUUUACAUUAUAAUGAAGUGUAUGGAGUUGAUUGCCAAGCACAAUGGUGUGGUCCUAUUUUCAUGAUUCCAAUUACCAUAACAAAACCUACGACUGUGAACAAUCGUCCUCCUAUUAUAUCAUUUACAAGGAUGUCAUUCCAGCCAGAUUGAUUACUCAAAUAAAUCAUGCCAUUGGAGCCUAUGGUACUGUAACCAACAAUGCCAGACAGUGGUAGAAAAAUACGGGAAAGUUAUUCUGGAAAUGCUGUUAUCUCAGGUAAUGCAGGCACAACAAAGGAAGAUAUGCUCUCAAAUUGCAUUUUGUACCUUUGUGGGACUUAAGGCGUUAGUACAAACAUUCAGAAUAUGGUGGAUGAAAGCAAAGAGAGGGCAUCUGAUGGUAUGCAAUUGGUGGUAAAGCUUUUAAGCUGACACCAGAUCAGGUAUGUUUUUUUAAAUACAUUCACGAAUGUAAAAUGAAUCUUCCAGACAUAAUGAACAAAAAUUUAACAGCUGGAAUAAAAUCAAUAAGCUUUAUCAGUUUUAAUUGGGUUGCAACCAAUCAAUAAUUCUAAUUUGGCUGCUACUAUCCUACAAAUUGGUUUUAGGAUGCAUGCUGUAAUUAUAGUAUAAGGAAGGUGGUAUAUUUUGUAGAAUGCUUGAAAGCAAUUAGCUAACAUUAUCGUGGGUUUACACUUCCUUUUAUGUCUUGUACUUUACCUUUUUUGUGAUUCAUUCAUUGUCUUCUGUUUUCCGAGUGUUCAUCUUAUAUCUUCAUUGAUUCUGUAGUUCCAAAUUUAAAUUGGAGGAUGCAUCAGAAAUAAAGCCUCUAGUUCCCUUGCUUAAUAAUCGCAUAUAUGACAAUAAAUUUGAGUCACAGUUUUAUGAGAUCUCAGACACUAACAAGGUAAUUUGGAUUUAUAGUUGUUGAAGUUGAAAUUUUAUUAAUCUUACUAUUACUCGAGGUAUAGAUCUUACAGGUUUGCCCCAUACAAUGAUCAAGCAAGUGGGAGAGUGUGACAACAUUUUCUUCUCUAUUUGUAUCCUAUUUGUGUUUUGUAUUUCUCUAAUUUUAUUUAUCUCUUUGUACGUAUUUGUGUUUUGUGUUUUGUGUUUUGUGUUUUUCAGUUUGUAUUUGUGUUUUGUGUUUUGUGCUUAUCUCUAUGUAUUUGUAUUUUGUUUUUCUUUCUAUGUAUUUGUAUUUUUUUUCUCUUUGUAUAUUUGUAUUUUGUGUUUCUUUUUUGUAUUUGUGUUUUGUGUUAGGUGUUUCUUUAUGUGUUUCUCUUUGUAUUUGUGUUUCACGGUUGGUGUUUUUCUCUUUGUAUUUGUGUUUUGUGGUUGGUGUUUUCUUUUUGUAUUUAAGUUACGUGGUUGGUGUUUCUAUCUUUAUAUUUGUGUUUGAUGGUUGGUGUUUGCAUUUUGUGUUUUAUUUAUAUUUGGUUUUGUUUAUUUGUGUUUCUCUAUGUGUUUGUGAAUCGUUAGUUUUGUUGUGUUUCUAUUUGUCUUUUCUAUUUGGGUUUUGUAUUUUGUGUUUCUCUUUUUGUAUUUGUGUUUUGUGUUUGGUCUUUCUCUAUGUGUUUCUCUUUAUAUUUAUAUUUUGUGUCUUUCUUUUUGUGUUUGGUGUUUGGUUUCUCUAUGUGUUUCUCUUUGUAUUUAUGUUUCAUGGAUGGUGUUUUUUUCUUUGUAUUUUGGUUGGUGUUACUGUCUUUAUAUUUGUGUUGGAUGGUUGGUGUUUGCAUUUCGUGUUUUUCUAUGUGUUUAUGAAUUGCUAGUUUUGUUCCUUUUGAUGAGUGUAUGUGUUUCUAUUUGUGUUUUGAAAUAAAUUUCAUUUGCAUGGAGUAGUUUAUGCUUCAUCUAUACUUCGAAUCUUUUUACGCAGCUGUUAUCCUAAAACUUCACUGAACUUCUUCUAAUCCUAAAUUUGGGGAUCUUUCUACUUGCUGCAGUGUGAGACAUGCCUCAAGUGAAGAGACACUCAACAUAUUGAAGCUUGCAGAUAAUAGAUGCAGCACAACACAUUUAUAUUAAAAUCUUGUAACCCAACUAAAAGUAUAUUCACUUUAUCAUAUUAUUUAUUAUAUAAAGUUGAACUCUAAUUUAGUUUUCAA